rnacentral:tRNA from 1 species
UCCCUGGUGGUCUAGUGGUUAGGAUGCAGUAUUUUCACUGCUACUGCCUGGAUUCAAUUCCUGGUCUGGGAA